rnacentral:misc_RNA from 1 species
CUGCCCUCAAGCACGGCUUGUGUGUUGGGCCCCCCGUCCCGGUUCUCCAGCCGGGACGGGCCCGAAAGGCAGCGGCGGCACCGUGUCCGGUCCUCGAGUGUAUGGGGCUCUGUCACCCACUCGUGUAGGCCCGGCCGGCGGCCAGCCUCUUCAACCAAAACUUUUCUUAACCAGG